CUCCGAGUUGACCCCGGCAGUCUCCUAUGAGUCCCCACCAUCACGUGCUGGCAACAUAGAACGAGGGUUGCGCUCGUUGCGGGACUUAACCCAACAUCUCACGACACGAGCUGACGACAGCCAUGCACCACCUGUAUACCGACCACAAGGGGGGCCGUAUCUCUACGGCUUUCCGGUAUAUGUCAAACCCAGGUAAGGUGGGGAUGACGUAAGCCUAUCGAGA
rnacentral:misc_RNA from 1 species